GGUGCACAUUGUUAGAGCUUGGAGUUGAGGCCACUGGCUGGUGAUGAACUCGCAGGUGUAGGUAGUGUGCUACAUGAGGGGCAAGGGUCUCUGGCCCGGUGAGUGGAAUUUGAUAGUAAUACUUCCUGCAGGU